rfam:Gossypium hirsutum cultivar TM-1 unplaced genomic scaffold scaffold42.1, whole genome shotgun sequence
UGUUAAAAAUUUCAUCCAAUUCUACUGUUAAAAACUGGCAUGCCUAAUGGGAUGACUAGACAGUUACACGUGACAUGCCAUGUGUACUUUAUGUUGAUGUACAAUGAUAAAUUUUUAAUAAUAGAAAUGGGUGAAAUUUUUAACA